rnacentral:rRNA from 1 species
AGCGAACGCUGGCGGCAGGCCUAACACAUGCAAGUCGAACGAACCUUUCGGGGUUAGUGGCGGACGGGUGAGUAACACGUGGGAACGUGCCUUUAGGUUCGGAAUAACUCAGGGAAACUUGUGCUAAUACCGAAUGUGCCCUUCGGGGGAAAGAUUUAUCGCCUUUAGAGCGGCCCGCGUCUGAUUAGCUAGUUGGUUGAGGUAAUGGCUCACCAAGGCGACGAUCAGUAGCUGGUCUGAGAGGAUGAUCAGCCACAUUGGGACUGAGACACGGCCCAAACUCCGACGGGAGGCAGCAGUGGGGAAGCUUGCGCAAUGGGCGAAAGCCUGACGCAGCCAUGCCGCGUGAAUGAUGAAGGUCUUAGGAUUGUAAAAUUCUUUCACCGGGGACGAUAAGGACGGUACCCGGAGAAGAAGCCCCGGCUAACUUCGU